AAUAAGAAGCAAAAAAUUGCAUUUAGUUUCGACCUAAAAAUUUGAUUGAUAGAAAUCCUUAUUU
rnacentral:tRNA from 2 species